GGCACCCUGGGGUGGGGGUGGGGUCACAUCACAGUGGGAGGCAGGCAGCUGCUGGGGUCCCAGGCAGAGGCACACCAGGGGACAGGGUGAGUGGCCUCUGACCUGAGGGCAGCUCCCUUUCUCUCCUUAGCUUGCAGGAGCUGCACCUAGUUUUGAAAACCCAGGCUGCUGAUUUCCUUUUAAGUUUAUGUCUUUGAUUUUAUUGACCCUACGCUAAACCCCUUUUAAUCCUUGCGCUCCCCCUGUUUAAUCUAACGUUCUUGAUGCUGUCAGAACAAUUAGGAUACAGAUUUUUCCUGUAACUGAAAACAAAAUGUAAGGCGUUAGAGCCCUGGUCCUGCAAUGUGCUUUGUGUGGUUCUGUGCCAAUGUGAACCCCACAGAAUAUGGGGUCCUAUGCAGCCUACCAGGACAGACAAACAAAAGGCAGAACUACAGCCAUUAUGAAUCAUUGUUUAAAGUUAAAAAAUCCUUAGCUAGUUUCCUAUAGGAUUGUCUACAAGUGUUGUCUUUGGUAUGAGAUCUGAUGUACAAAUUGUCUUGGGCACACCUGUGAUGUAGGAAAGUGCUGUUAUUCCUCUUUUACAGAUGGGGAACUGAGGCUCAGAGAGAUUGUGACUUGCUCAAGGUAACAGGGUACUGAACCUGAUUAUCGUACCCUAUCACUGUAGCAUUUUUCCUUUCUAUUGUUUGUUAGUGCUCAUUACCUUGAUGGAUCAGGUCCAAACUGGAACAGUGGCCCUUAUCCACUUGCCAAUUUUACUUAAGAUGGAGGUUUCCUUGCUAUCUACGCUAUUCUUUUGUACAGUAUUUCCCUAUACUUACUAUAGGAAAUACCUGGAAUAUAUCAAAUACUGAGAUUAUCUAAUUGCAAAUACUUAUUUAAUUAAGGUAUAUGGCAAGUUUUCAAGGUCCACCACCAUAACCAGCUAUAGAAAACAAUGAAAAUCUAUAUAUUUUUUGGUGCACAAAUAUCCUAUCAAUAAUAAAAAAUAAGUGACUAUUUUACAUUGGGAUGGACUGGACUGCAUUCUGUUUGAAAUAAAUUUAAUUCAAAGUGUCAUGUGCAUUCGGCCUCAGUAAGAGGAGGAGAAUACUGUAUCCUAUUAAGCAAGGAUGCCCUCUGCCAGUGACGUUUGUA